GCGCCCGUAGUUCAAUGGAUAGAACGUCAGGUUGCGGACCUGAAGGUUAGAGGUUCGACUCCUCUCGGGCGCA
rnacentral:tRNA from 1 species